GUCUUUUUGAUUUUAAUUUAAAGUUUAACCUGCCCAUUGAAAUUUUUUAAAAGGCUGCGGUAUUUUGACCGUACAAAGGUAGCAUAAUCAUUAGUUUUUUAAUUGAAAACUUGUAUGAAUGGUUGAAUGAGAAAUUAACUUUUUUAAAAAAAUAAUUGAAUUUUACUUUUUAAUUAAAAGGUUAAAAUAAUUUUAAAAGACGAGAAGACCCUAUAGAGUUUUAUAAUUUUUAUUUAAUAUUUAAAAAGAUUAAUUAAAAUUUUAUGAAUAAAAUUAUUUUGUUGGGGUGAUAAUAAAAUUUAAAUAACUUUUAUUUUUUCUUUACAUUAAUAUAUGAUUUUAUGAUCCAUUAUUAAUGAUUAAAAAUUUAAAUUACCUUAGGGAUAACAGCGUAAUUUUUUUUUAAAGUUCAUAUUAAUAAAAAAUUUUGCGACCUCGAUGUUGGAUUAAGAUUUAAUUUUAGGUGCAGCAGUUUAAAUUUUAAGUCUGUUCGACUUUUAAAUUCUU
rnacentral:rRNA from 1 species